rnacentral:rRNA from 1 species
UACGGAGGGUGCAAGCGUUAUCCGGAUUUACUGGGUUUAAAGGGUGUGUAGGCGGGCUUUUAAGUCAGUGGUGAAAUCUCCGGGCUCAACCUGGAAACUGCCAUUGAUACUAUUAGUCUUGAAUAUUGUUGAGGUAGGCGGAAUAAGUCAUGUAGCGGUGAAAUGCAUAGAUAUGACUUAGAACACCAAUUGCGAAGGCAGCUUGCUAAACAAUGAUUGACGCUGAGGCACGAAAGCGUGGGGAAUCAAACAGGAGUUAGAA